rnacentral:lncRNA from 1 species
CAACAGAAGAACUUCAAAGGCUAUGUAAGAUCUGCCAAUCUCCCAAAUCAAGUAUACAAAAAACUGGUGAAGAGAGGGUUUGAAUUCAUACUUAUAGGUGAAUUCUGGAUUGGGCCAGUCAACAUUAAUCAACUUAUUAUUCCUCACAGAUUUCUAUUCUCCAGAGUAUCCAGGUCCUUCCCAUAGAAUAAAAAACACUGACCAACAACAACACACAUGCAGAACUUGAAAGAUGUUACUAAUAAUGAAGAACUACAGAAGCAGAAAACCGGCAGCUGUGACAUAAUGGAGUUGAUAACGUUACCAAGCAAAGGAGGCUUGCUCCUCUGGCACAAAUGGAAGAAGAAAAAAGGGAGCAAGCAGAUAAGAUGAAGAAGAUGGAGAUCAAGACAGAGCAGGUAUUUGAGAUGAAGGUGAGUAAGUAGUUCAAAACCUGAGGGACUCUGAAGUUGAGGCAAAUAAAAAACAAUUUGGAAGCACAGCAAAAAGAAUUAAGAGAAAAACUGUUGUCAGUUUGAGGAUGAGUAAGCAAACUGGGAAGCUCAACAACGUAUUUUAGAACAUCAGAACUCUUCAAGAACCUUGGCAAAGAUCAAGAAGAAAGGGAAGGUCUUUUAA